GUGAUCCAAUAAGCUCCUCUCACUCAUCACAAUAUAUAUAUAUAUAUAGAGAGAGAGAGAGAGAGAGAGAGAGAGAGAGUUAAGCUACAAUACAACAUUAUAUUCAACCUGGGGAAAGUUGGAAUUGUUCAGCCAUCAAAAGAGGGAAACUCAAGUUGAAACCAGAAUUCUAAUGGAAAUGGGCACUUCCAAGUGAUUUUAUUAAUGGCCAUACUAUAGAGGAAACCUGCAUUGUCAAUUAAAUUCAGGGUCCAUGCUAAUUAUGCACCUCUCCUGGAGGUGAAGAGAACUUCAUUAAAAGUCUAGAUCAGAGCAUCAGAGUACAAAAUAUCCCCUAGCUAAGUCAAACUAAUUGAAGUUACAAUAUGAUUGGAUCAUUUUUAUGAAAAAGGGUUAUGAUGAGGAGCCACCAUUAGACUUCAAAAUUGAUCAUGAAGGUAUUUGGUCAUCAUUUGGAUGUUUCUCAUUCAUGUGUUAUAUCUAUUCAUUAUAUUGGCAGAUAUCCCACCUCUGUGGUUAAAUCUUGCUCUUCUUAUAGUUGUUUGUGCGUAACAAUGGAUGGCGAAAUAAACAGCAUCAAUGGCAUUCUUAGAAGUACUGCAUCGGAUUCCUUGCAAACCUAUUGUGCAAUGUAAGGCCGUAUGCAAGCGUUGGUGCCCUCUAUUUCCAGCCCCUUAUUUCCUUAGUCGCUUCCAUAGCCACCAACA